UACGUAGGGGGCAAGCGUUGUCCGGAAUUAUUGGGCGUAAAGCGCGCGCAGGCGGCAUCGUAAGCCCAGUGUUUAAGCUCGGAGCUCAACUCCGAUACGCACUGGGAACUGCGAGGCUUGAGUGCAGAAGAGGAAAGUGGAAUUCCACGUGUAGCGGUGAAAUGCGUAGAUAUCGGGAGGAACACCAGCGGUGUAGACGGCUUACUGGACCACGACUGACGCUGAGGCACGAAAGCGUGGGGAGCAAACAGG
rnacentral:rRNA from 1 species